UGCCUCCACCCCCAAACCACCCCCUAGCCUUUGAGUCAACCACUGAGUCACCGGUGAGCAAUCCCUGUGGUUGCCCGGAGCAUCAUCCCACUAAGUCCUCAUAAUCACCAGGCAUGAUUGUGAGAUCAUCACAGUGACUUGGUGCGCCCCUGGAGGUAGGAAGGCAGCUGAAGAGGGGAGAGAGACACCCUCCCCACCCCCAUAUGAGGAUGGUCUGUGAUGAUAUGCAUGCAGGGGAAGGGACUUAUCCAAGGUCCCUGAUAGGAGUCAUUGGGAAAUUCAGCAGCUAAUGAAGAUGGCCCUGUUCUGUCAGGUCCCUACUGGAAUAUUUAAAAUUCUGUUUUUCAUACUUAUCAGCUAAAAGAAUUACAGAAAUAUAUUUCUGGAUCCUGUGGGGAAUAAGAGCAGAAAUAUACAAAGCUUCUUCUUUCAAGACGGAUCCCAGCAGCCCAAGUGAAUGUCACAGUUGUGUUAAAGACUAUUGAUUCCAGCAGGUUCUGGGCUGGGUCUCAGCUUCCCAGGACUGUUCCAGGCUGACCUCCUUUCCCUGGUUCCAUCUUUUUUUGGGACUUCUGUGGGCCUUCAUUCAGCAUGUGGCUUGCGGGUGUCCAGGUCUGCAGGCAUACACACCUCUCCUGAUCUGAAUCAGAGAACAAAAGAUAAAGGAUGGAGGACAAUGGCCUCUUCACUUUUGCUUUCUCUCUUCUUUGCGUUUUACUUUGUGUUUCCAACAGCCAAUGGAAGGCUGUUCUAUUUAGAGUAAAUGACUCAGACUUGGUACAUCUCGAAUCGUAUGUCAGAGCACACUGUUGCCCCUCAAAGCUCAGGAAAGGCUGCAUACUCUAUCUCCCUCUUGAUGGUUUCCUCGUAUUUACAUGUUAAAGACCAUAGAUGUCCUGUAGUAAAGGGGUUAGCUUGCCUCUGUUUAUCCCAGUGAUUCUAGUGAAACUAAAAUGCUUGUUUCUGUGGGGCACAGUCCAGAUGUGUUGUCCACUUGGAUUGACCAAUCCUUUCAAUAAAGGUUUGAUGCAACCAUGUGAAUCGCAAGUUUUCAGCAUUUAGUUUUGUGACCUUGAGCAAAUCACCUAAUCAUUACAUGCCUCAGUUUCCUCAUCUGUAAAAGGGGAUAAUAAAAAGCAUCUACUUCAUAGGGUUGCAUUGAGGAUUAAGUGCUUUAAUUAAGGUUUUAGUACAGUUUCUGAAAUAUAAUGUAUUCUAUAUAUGGUAGCUAUUAUUAUGUUAGUAUCCAUUAUUAUUUGCUGAAAUCUUUUAACACUGUGCUGAGUGUUGGUACUGUCUUCUUAUCAUGUCAUAGAGUAUGGGGUAGUAUAAGAAUCCUACCUUAGGUCAAAGGUCACAAAGCCCUAUUGUUUUAUUCCCAAUAGUCUUACAGGGAAGAUGCAGUUGUCUUUGUCUUAUGGAGGAAGGAGGUGAAGCACACCCGAGCAGUAAAGAGGCCCCGGGUCACACAGCACAUACAGGAGUCAAACCCUGGCCUCUGGCUGCAAGCCUGCCAUCACCAAGCAUCUCUCUAAAGCUGCUUGUCAACCAGCCUCAGACAGGGGCCCACAGACACGAACCUCAUCUCAGCGUUGGUAGGAGGCACCUUCCACUUGGAUUCUCUUCAUGUGGUUAAGAGAGUCCUGAGUUCCAAUCCUAAGUUCACUCAUCUCUACCUCCUUGCCUAUGUGCAGGUUACUUAACUUUUCUGACCAUCAGUCUUCUCUGUUGUAACAUACGGAUGGUAACACUCAUUUCUUAUGCAUGCAGUGAUGCUUAAUGACAUAAUGUAGGUGGGGUUCAUGCACAAGGCCUGGUAUAUGAUGAGUGCUAGUAAAUCUUAGCUCCCAAUGA